AGAGUGGGCCGGGCGACCGCCGCGGAUGCGCCUGGCGCAUCGACGGAGGAAAGUCCGAACUGGACAGGGCACGGUGGUGGCUAACGGCCACCGUCCGCGAGGACCGGGACAGUGCCACAGAAAACACACCGCCGACGAUCGGAGCAAUCCGAAACGGGUAAGGGUGAAAUGGUGCGGUAAGAGCGCACCGCGCGACCGGUGACGGUCGUGGCAGGGCAAACCCCACCGCCAGCAAGCCCAAGCAGGGGCGAUGAGCCGGCCCGGCUCGCGAUCAGCCCCGGGUCGGGUGCUCGAGCCGGUCGGCAACGGCCGGCCCAGAUGAAUGGUCGCCGCCCGACGACGUACGAGUCGAUUCGCCUCCCAGGCGGUCGCCUCGAAUGUCGCCGGGAACAGAAUUCGGCUUACAGGCCCACUCUGCAC
rnacentral:RNase_P_RNA from 1 species